rnacentral:rRNA from 1 species
AUGCCGGGGUACCUGACGGCGGUCCGGGAGUCGGAGAACAUGCCGCAGCCGCCCCCGCUCGUCCAGGAGUACAUGCAGCUCGCCCCGGUCGCCGUCCACCCGGAGGACCCGCCGGACUUCCCCGGGUAUCACGCCGCGGUCGAGGACUCGAUGGCCGCGCCCGCGGCGCCCGUGGUACCCCUCGACAACGACAGCAGCAGCAACGACAGUGAUGACGGCGACGGGCUCUAUGACGAGGCAGACUUCGGCGGCGUCGAGGACGAGUAG